GAUGAACGCUGGCGGCGUGCCUAAUACAUGCAAGUCGAGCGAACAGAUGAGGAGCUUGCUCCUCCGACGUUAGCGGCGGACGGGUGAGUAACACGUGGAUAACCUACCUAUAAGACUGGGAUAACUUCGGGAAACCGGAGCUAAUACCGGAUAAUAUAUUGAACCGCAUGGUUCAAUAGUGAAAGACGGUUUUGCUGUCACUUAUAGAUGGAUCCGCGCCGCAUUAGCUAGUUGGUAAGGUAACGGCUUACCAAGGCAACGAUGCGUAGCCGACCUGAGAGGGUGAUCGGCCACACUGGAACUGAGACACGGUCCAGACUCCUACGGGAGGCAGCAGUAGGGAAUCUUCCGCAAUGGGCGAAAGCCUGACGGAGCAACGCCGCGUGAGUGAUGAAAGUCUUCGGAUCGUAAAACUCUGUUAUUAGGGAAGAACAAAUGUGUAAGUAACUAUGCACGUCUUGACGGUACCUAAUCAGAAAGCCACGGCUAACUACGUG
rnacentral:rRNA from 1 species